AGAAGCUCAAUGCCGCCGAGCCAAACCCCGAAAAUCCGAUCAAAUUGCGUCCCUUUGCAGGUGGCUUUCCACUCGAGCACAAUUUUGGAAAAUGAAUGAGAUGGGCAGUAGGAGGGAGGGGUGUAGUUAGCAAAGACUGGAGGUUUGCCGUAUGUGUACCCGAAGUCGUGCUGGAGAACGUGCUGGGUGCAGGGCUUGGUUUUGGGGAGUUCUAUGGGUUUGGUUAUUUCGAAGUAGAGAGUUGGUGCGGCAGCGUUUUGUGGGGUGGGUUGGGAGAGGAGCUCCGAUCGGAGAAGGUUAAUUUUGUGGACAUUGGCGGCGGAAAAGAGUGGUUGGUGGAGGAGGAGGAGGAGGAGGAGGAGGGCCAACGGAGAGGCCAUGAGUGACUCACCGGUGGUUGAGCUGUCUCUUGUUUUGGCGGGUUUUGCUUUGUUUUGGCGCUAUUAUUUAUAUGUAUUUAUUUGUUUGUAUUUUAUUAAGUUUCUUGGAGUAGAAAACAAUGGUGAGUUGGUGAUUCUAUAAACUGAAUUAAAUAAUUUCUUAAAUGUACUAUUUAAAUUCCAUCUACCAAAAAUAAGGGCGGAAUUAGAAUCCUUGAUUCUGAUUCGAUUCGUUCGAAAAUCAUCCCUUUUUAAUUGAAAAAUCAAAUUUAAUUUUUCAUUUACAUAAAGUCUUUGGAAUUAGUAAGUACUUAGAGCGCUGCUACCAAUAUAUCUAACUAAUGAGUGUGGUACCGAUAUAUUUAACCCACACUAGUAUAGCAGUAGUGUUAUUGAAAUCAAACUCAUGAUGCGUGAUUCUUAUAUAUAGGUAUCAUACCAACAAUAUGGUAUGAAAAAUAUGGUAAGAACAACAUUUUUUAUCGGUAAAUUGGACAUUCACUAAUUUUCAUAUGGGGUAAAAAUAAAAAAACAUUAUGUAAAUGGAGAAACAAAAGUGUAAAACAAUCGAAGGCGAUUUGAUUGAUGAGAUGAUAGCUCCACCAGAAGCGAAAGUUUAAAACAAUAUGACAGACCAAACCAAAUUGCACGCAACAUUGUAAGGGUAGUUCAUCAACAUUUUCAGUCUUAACGUUCGGCCGGCUUGAACGAGCCGGAGAACGAACUGUGAAAAUACUGCCAAACCGUGUCACGUUUCUCUAAUAAUAUGUUUGGACGAAGGACUUUUAAGGUGUCGUUUUAAAAAGUUCUCUCUUAUGAAACUUUCAAGUCAAACGUUCUAAAAACCGUGGAAAACUCUCACAAUGACUAAGGAGUUGGGUUAUAAAAGCUUUGAAGUUUGGUAUAAAAUUUCUAAAUUUUUUAGCAGUGCAAGAAACAUCAUAUUUUUCAUAAAAAGAUUUCUCAUUUCAUUACAUAAACUUAGAUUUACAAACAAAAUUACCUGAUAUUUACACGCAAGUUGAAAAAAUGUACUGCGAGGCCGAGAACGGGCUUGGUAUCGGACCCCUGCGAAACGGUGAGUUCGACGAAUCCGUGAAGGGUGAGACCAUGAAUCAUAUUGAGAUAACACAAGUUCACAUGAUCCAGUUUUCAGAAAUCAUUCAAUUCCAGGUAAAACCAGAACCAUUUUAAUGCAGAUACCUUAACUAGAUUCUUGAAGAGUACAUAAAAAUAAAAUUGAGUACAAAAUACUUACAUUUUUAUUUGAGGUACCAACAAACACGACUACACGAGCCCUCCGUAAAAUUUACCAAAGGAGUCCUUUUCUGCAGCAUAUGAAGAUGCAUCGAUACGAAUAAGCUAGGCACCGUCAUUGUUCUCAAGUAAAUCGGGGACCAGGAAAGUUACUUUGAGCACCAAAAGGCAACAGUGUGCUUAAGCCAAAAUCCAAAUUAGACUCCGGUUUUGUGGUGCACGUAAGCCUCACCAUAUCAUAGAGUAUGGUGUAGUUUGAGCUGCUUAUGUUUCUGAAGUAACAAGAUCUGGCACUAUCGAAUCUAUACACUUGCUGUGUACUCCCCAAUCCACUAGCUACCAAAUUGUUUUUUACAACCAUAUUACCCUCGGCAUUCUGCAGAUUUCUGAGAGAGCUGUUGGAGAAUCCUGAACCAGCACUUGCAGACUUCUUCUCAAUAAAUCCCAAUUCGACAUUUGUAACGAAUGUAUAUGAAUCAUUUGCUUGUUCCAAGUAGUCACUGUACAAGUAAAGAGAAAAAAUUUUGUUUGAUGACAUUGAGUGAACAGUGGAGGAUGGCGGCCUGAUAUGAACUGUAUCAUUGAAAUGGAUGAUCUGAUUCACUAUCUGCGUAUUACCAUCAUUCUUCAUGACCAUUGUAUUACUGUAAUGGAAGUCUUGAAUCGCAUCAGUUGUGAUAUUCCCGUAGGAGGACGUCACCCAUCCAGUCGAUGACACGGACCUGCCGGCCCUUGUCAAAAAUGUGCCAUUUAAACCCUUGAAAUCUGAAACCAAUGAAACAACAAGGGGCAAGCUACUAUGCUUUGAAAGCUCUCCUUCAGUUUUCGUGCUCUGCUUGUCCAACCAAAGAUGCAAAUUCGCGUCAACAUACCAAACAUUUAAGGCAUUUGUAACAUUAAAACCAAACUUGUGGCUCUUCCCAUCCAAUAUCUUCCCUAAAAAGGGAGUGAUUUCAAUAUCAUAAGGGAGAUCGAAUGAGCCAAUCGCAGUAAUUGGUCUCCACAGGAGCGGAUAGACCCCUCCGGUGAAAAUCACAGUAAAAGGCCAGACUGCACCAACAACCUCACCAUCUAAACUCACCACAACCUCCCUAAAAGGCCCGUUUCCAGGCGUACCGCUAAGAUUGUUUGCAGCAAUGUACUCAUUCGGAGGAUUUGAAUACCAAACUCAUCAUUCUCAUGAAAUGAAACAUACACCUCCAACACAGCCCUAUAAGCAUUCUGUGGAAUCUCAAAUUCCUUCAACUGUGUAUCGGUCGAAUUCUGGAUUUCAAACCACAACCCAUCAUUCAAAGGCAGAUUUCUCGAAAUGGGCAAGAUCAAAUCCGCCCAAGAAUGGUACCCAGAAUCCAAAUUUUCCAAAAUUCCCAAAUUUUGCUCAUAAUUAUAAUUCAAAUUCUUCUCAGCAGGGUAAAAAUGGAUGCUAAUAUUCACAUGGUAAAUCCCAGUGUAUGUUUUAUCUAUCAAAUUCCCAAGAUAAACAGCUAGUGUUUGAUUGUUCUGAAGCAAAGAAUAGUACCUUGUGAUGUCCUUCUCGACAAUCCAAACAAUCCCAUUCUGCGUCGGCUCAGCCGUGCAGCUCCUGAGAAGCUCAACGCCACCCAGCCAAACCCCAAAAAUCCGAUCAAAUUGCCUCCCUUUGCAGGUGGCUUUCCACUCGAGGACAAUUUUGGAAAAUGAUUGAGAUGGGCAGUAGGAGGGAGGGGUGUAGUUCGCAAAGACCGGAGGUUUGCCGUAUGUGUACCCGAAGUCGUGCUGGAGAACGUGCAGGGUGCAGGGCUUGGUUUUGGGGAGUUCUAUGGGUUUGGUUACUUCGAAGAAGAGAGUUGGUGCGGCGUCGUUUCGAGGGGUGGGCUCGGAGAGGAGCUCGGAUCGGAGGAGGUUGAUUUUGUGGACAUUGGCAGCAGAAAAGAGUGGUUGGUGAAAGAGGAGGAGGAGGAGGAGGGCCAACGGAGAGCCCAUGAGUGACUGGCUGGUGGUCGAGCUGUCUGUUGCUUCGGUGGGUUUUACUUUAUUUUGGUGCUCUAUUUAUGUAUUUAUUUAUAUUUCUUUGUUUCUGUUUUUAUUAAGUUUCUUGGAGUAGAAAACAAUGGUGAGUUUUUCUUGUUGGAGAAGACAAUGGUGAGUUAUUGAUUCUAUAAACUGAAUUAAAUAAUUUUUUGACUUUGCUAUUUGUUUUUUUUUUGUUCCAAAAAAAAAUAAUUAGGCUAGAGUUGAAAUUUUUUAUUCUAAUUUAAUUCGUUCGAAAAUCAUCAGGUUAGACAUUUUUAUUUGAAGAAUUCAAUUAAAACGUUCAUUUGCAUAUAGUUUUUCGAAUUAGUAAAUAGUGAGUACUUGAUUGAAAUGUUACCAAAUUUCUAAUUCCAAUAAUAAAUACAUUAAUCAAUUGUGAUAAUAAAGUGAGAAAUAGAAAUUGGAAUGUCUUGGAAAAACAUUGUCUCAUACAUUUGGAAGAGAGUGGACUGUCGCAAUUCAAGUGAAUCCAGAAGAAUUCUACGUGGCCCAAUAUCGUGAAUAUGGUAAGAUUUUUGGAAGUUUUAACGAAAAAUCUGCAGUACUGUUUACUUUAACAAAAAAUUAUAUUUUUACACUAAAAAGUCAAAUAUGGUACUAUUCACCUUAUCCUUUAUUUUGUCUUUAUCAUUAAAACUCAAAGUUUUCAAGUCAUUUUCAUUAGUUUUCUUAAGAUUUUUAUCACAAAUUGUCAUUGAAAUUGAUCAAAAUCAUCAUUUUGGUACCUUACUUCCAAAAUCAAUAUGUCGUCACUGUCAUUCACUAUUGCACAUCAAGUUGAUUAUUCUAUUAAGAUUCCAUCAACUAUUGUGUUAGUUUGUAUGUGGGACUCACAAAUCCAAUGAAAUAGUGAUGUGGAUUACACAAUAUAACGGUUUUUAUCGUAAAUGGUCCCUGACAUUGAUCAAACUCCUCAUUUUGGUCCCUGAGUUUCAAAAAUUGAUAAAUUUGCUGCAUGACUUUCAAUACCGCAUGUCAAUUUAAUCCUUCCAUUAAAGUUCUGUAAUAUUUUUUGUCACACUAAUCCAAUUAUACGACGCCAUGUGGAUUAACUACAAAAAAAUAAAUAGUUUUUUGAAGAUUUAAAACUAAAAGUAAAAUAAGAAACUAAACACCAAAACUAAAAGAAAAAAAGUCAUCGUCUUCUUGUAUGCUCAAAAAGAGUUUCUUAUAGUUAGUUAAUCCAUGUGGAGCCAUAUGAUUGGAUUAGUGGGACCACAUUACCACACAAACGAAAAAUAUUGAUGAAAUUUUAAAUGGAAUGACUAAAUUGAUAUGAUGUAGUGAAAGUCAAGGACCAAAUUUAUUGAUUUUUGAAACUCAUAUAUCAAAAUGAGGAGUUGGAUCAAUGUCAAGGAUUACAAUCCACGUGUCAUCAUUUCAUUGGAUUUGUGGGUCACACAUAACUAACUAAAUAGUUGACGGAAUCUUAACGAAAUGAUCAAAUUGAUGUGGGGUAGUGAAUGUCGGGGACUACAUUGAUUGAUUUUGAAAGUAAGAGACCAAGAUAAUGAGUUUGAUCAAUCUCAAAGACCAUUUAUGAUAAAAACCCAAUAAGGUAUUAGGUUUUAUUCAUGGGUCUUGAGUUCGAAAUUCUCCUCCCUACCGUAUAUAUAUAUAUAUAUAUAUAUAAGCAACCUGCAACAUAAAAUAAAAUAGCAAAAGGUUAGCUUCUUUAUGCUUCAAGAUUGUAUUAAAGUGCAAAUUCCGAGUUAGAAGUAAAAGAGGCGUGGCUACUUACAAAAAAAAAAAAAAAAAAAAAAAAAAGCGGGGGUGCAACUAGAAACAUAUCAAAAUUUUGUUCGAGCAAUGCAGUUGGACUCCAUGUUAUGCCUAGGGUAAGAUCCAACAAAUAAAAACUAUGCUUUAUGGUUUGAUAUUUUAAUUUAUAACUUGUGUUGUAGUUAGUUUUGGAAGUUAUUUUGUACCUUUCUGUGUUAUGGUUAAUAAAUUUUUGAUCGGAUGAUAUUUAUAUAUAUUUUUACUUCGAAUUCACUCGUCUUUUCUUAGUUAGUUCCUUAUAUUUUUAAGCUAUUUACGUUAUUUUUGUGUUUAUAGGAUUUGUUAUGCAAAGAAAAUAAAAAUAGAACAAGUGAAAUUUUAUGUAAUAAAUUCGUCAAAAGCAAAUUUAAAUUACAAUAUUGCUAAUCCAUUGUGACGCUAAAUGAUAAACCAAUAUUUAAACUAUAUAUUUUAUCAUUUUAUAAUUCUUUUCUUGUCUAAUUUAGUUGGAAGCUUUAAGUAUUUAUGAUACUUUUGAUAUAUUGUGUUUGUAGGAGUAACAUGAUCAAAAGAACUUAUUUUUCUGCUAUGUGGGGUUGCUAGAAACUAAAUGAAAAUAAAAGGAGACAGCUAAGAGGGAAUGAGUAAGCUGCCCUUGCAGCUUUGAAAAGUCAAAAGGAAAUGGCAUAAAAAAAUAACAAAAGGAGACGUGGGCGGAAAGAGCUGCCUGGCAGCUUUGAACAGCAAUAAAAAUAGAAGAGGGCAGCGUGGGGAAGAAAACAGCUGCCUAGCAGCGUGAGCAAGGCAGAGUCGCAGCAAGGCUGCCAGAGACGAAAAGGGGGAUUGACAGCAAGCAGAAAAGAGGAGCGGAAAAGAGUAACGUGGUAUGCGCAGAGAGAAGUGGACGGACAGCGCGGAGAAGAAUAAAAAAAAAGGGAAAUAUAAAUGAACUGGAAAGCAGAAGGCGCAUAAAAAAGAUAUAUAGAAGAGAGGGCAGAGAGCAGUGGGGAGGAGGUGAUUUUGGGGGGGGAAUUGGUGGAAGGCGGCAGAGGGCUGCCCUUUUGGGCAGCGUGAAGCUACGGAGAGAAGGGAAGCGUGAAGCUCGCAGACGUGGAGAGGGAGAGAGGUCAGGAGGUCAGCUCGCAGAGGCAGGAGAGGAGAUAGACACGGGGAGAAGGGAGAUUGACGGGCACAGUGAGAAGAAAAUUAGAGGCUUCACUCCAUUUCUCUCGGUUAAAUCUUUUCAAACUUCUAUUUUAUUUUUGUUUUAAUAAUGUGUAAUUAAAUUUAUUUUAGCUAGAGGUUAAUUCAAAGCCAUGAAUAUAUUUGUAAUAUGAAUUGAUUACCUUCGGUUGUGAUUUCAUAAGUUGUGAUUUCAAUUUACUUAUCCGUUCGUAUAAAAACUGAUUUGUGUAUGUUGGUUGAGAGUGCACGCUUAAUUUACAUGCAUGAAUUUGAUGCUAGAAUAUAAGUGAAUUUUCACCUAAUCGUUAUGAACUUAUUUUCACAAGUAGUAAAGGUUGCUAGUCACAAUCACGUUAAGUAAAUUCUUGGCAAGAGUAUCAUGCUUUUCAUAGUUACGAAUGCCUCGUCAAUGCUUAUAGUUUUCACAAAGUUUAAUGAUCUUUGAUUGUAUCUCUAUUGUGCUUUUCACGUAGGGGACUUUUGAAGAAUGUUUUGAAUUGUUGUAUGCGUUUUUCCGUCCAAUUCAAUAAACUUAAGGAAAACUUGAAGAUUAAAAAAGUGCUGUUCACGGUUAAUCUGGAGUAUUGAGAUUCACAAUUUAUUGAAAGAACAACUGAAAAUCAAUUUAGGUUGCAUAUGUGUCAUGUGUGGAGAAGAACCCUCUAGCUAGUCCGUCAUUUAUCAUUUUACCUUAAUUUUAUGUUUUUGUCAAUUCUGUAAUUUAAUUAAGUUUAAUUUACUUUUCAUCAAAACCAAACACCCAUCCAUUAUUAAAUUAUAUUAUUUAGUUAGUUUUCUUUAUUGUUAGUCUUUUAAUUUAAUUUCCGUCCAUUUCAGUUCCUAGUGUUUAAUUUAAUUGUUUUCAUUAUUUUGAGUCAUUUUAAGUGUGUUUCGAGUUAUUAGAGUUUUUAGCCUAAUUUUAUGUCCUUGAGUCUUAUUUAAUAUUUUUAAAUUAAUUUAGAAUAGAUUAGCAAUCCCUCCUAAUCCCCGGCCUAGAACGAUACCCUACUUACAUCUAUACUACAAUUGUCAAAAAGAGGGUUUAAUUUGUGUGCUUAUAUAUUUCGCAUCAAAUUUUGGCGCCGUUGCCGGGGAUCGAACCCGGGUCACCCGCGUGACAGGCGGGAAUACUUACCACUAUACUACAACUGUCAAAAAGAGGGUUUAAUUUGUGUGUUAAGUAAUUUUUCGCAUCAAAUUUUGGCGCCGUUGCCGGGGAUUAGUAACUUUGCUAAUCCCUUUAUUUUUGUUUUUGUUUAUGUUUAUAUUGGUGUUUGUGUAUUUUACUUUUGAUAUUUGAUUUAUUUUUCUUUCUUUGAUUUUAGGUUCAAAUGGAGCCGAGGGAAAUUUAAAGGAAAGAUGCGUCCGGCUAAAGACGUUAAAUCAAGCGCUUCUUGGGAGGCAACCCAAGCAUUCAACGAAGGGAGACUUUGGAAUCGCUAACCCAAUCAGCUUUGCAUUCUUCCAACCUUAUCUUUACUGCUUUCAAUUUGUUUUGUUUAGUUAGUUGUGUUAUUUGGUUGAUUUCUGUGAGUUUGUGUUAUUUAGUUUAAGUGUGGGGGAAAGGUUAACCAAAGUCUCUUUACAUUAAUUUACAUUUAAAAAAGAAAAAAAAAAAAAAAAGAUAAAAUUUAAAAUUAAUGAUAAAAAAAAAUUACAUAAAAAAAAAAAAAAUUUAAAAAUUUAAAAAAAAAAAAAAAAUUUUUUUAAAAAAAAAAAAGUACAAAUAUUUUACAAUAAUGUAAACUAAUAGUAUUCAUUGGUCGGGUGGUGCUUCGGUAGUAGGCGGGGCUUCAGCAGUCGGCGGGGCCACAGAAGGAGGAGGCAGCAGAGGUUGAUCAGUUGGAGCUUCACUACGCGGUGCCGCUCCAGAAGACGAAGGCAGAUGCGGUUGGAACAAACCCACAAACCUCCGAUGAUCAAGUAAAAUUUGACCAUCGGUGUCCUGCAUCUGGUCAAUCUUUCUCUUCAUGCUGGUGGCAUAAUUGUGUGCAAGCUUGUGCAAUUGUUUAUUUUCAUGCUUGAGUCCUCUAAUCUCCUCUCUUGAGACACUCUGUAUUUCAGCCACCAACGAUUCAACGUGACGGGUUCGAGCAAAUAGACGUUGGGCCAUGUUGGAUACGGAACCGGCGCACUGCACGCUAAGUGCCAGAGACUCCUUAACCGCCAAUUCAUCAGACCGCCUAGCGAGCAGUCUGUUAUCUCUGGGGGUGACAAGAUUCCGGGCCACCACCGCAGCAGUCAUGUCAUUUUUCAUCACCGAAUCCCCCACGGUAAGAGGACCGGUAGGGGAUAUGAAGGAUGGGCGCCAUAUAUUGUCUGGUGAAGGCGGAGCUGCCUCUUCACCAAUGUUCAAGUCAAAAUGACGAUCGGAAGGGCCAGACAUUUUUCAGAGGUGGUGAAGAAAGAAGAGAGUCGGAAUGAUCAAGAUUAAACAAGUGCAAGAAGGGAGUGUUUACAGGAGGGUGCUCAAGUGUGUUGUGGAACAAGCUUAACGCCUCUAUAAAAAGAAGAAAUCGGAGAGGCGCUCCUCAGAGAAGCGUCAUCUCGCAAAUCGAAGAGUCGGGGCUCCUUUCUCAAAAGCCGGAUUCUUUUCUCAAAAGAGGAGUUUCCGUUCUCAAAAACCGGAUUCUUUUCUCAAAAAGAGGCGUUUCAUUUCUUAAAGGCUGGGCUUGCUCAGAAACAAUGAGCCGAACCCCGGAUUUUCAAAAGAUCAAUUUGUCCAGACGUGUCGUCACUUGUCACACGCAAAUUGCUUUGCGAAAUUCUCGGGCAGUUUGUCGAAGCACCAAUUCAGAAAUCGAAGAGGGAAAUUCAACAGUCAAAAAGACACGCUAGCUUUCUCAAAAGCUGGGCUUCAAACCCACGGGCAAAUCUUCUUUUCCAGAUUUAUCCGCACGUGUCACAUGCUACCUCUACAAUCGACGAUGCUCAGAGCUCGAAGCGCCGAUUCCAGAUACCAAUGAGGAAUCUGCUUUGCGGAAAUUACGGGCAGCUUUGUCAGAAAGCGCGUAAUUUGUACUAUUCAUCCAUCUACCGGCUGCCGACAAUGAGUGAGAGAAUAGUUCCGGUUGUGAAGAAAAGUCCUAUAAGUAUUUACCUUCGCCUUCCACAGCAAAGGCACACCCUCUCAGCACUUCUUCAUCUCUGAAAAUGCAUUCCCAAAGAAUCCUCCUAAGUCACUCUGUAUUCCUCAUUCCCUGGGAUACCCUUGCUAACAACCCAUCCAGAGCAAAAGUAUUUCAUAUCAUAAAGGUUGAAAGCAAGAGUAUCUCAUAUCAUGCAUUCUCCAUGUCCUUUUCCUUGUCUUUGUUCUAACCUGCAGGACAUGGAGAAAUUGCUCUCGAGUACUCGUCUUCCACUGCUGAUGUACUUCCAAAGAAGCUGCCACAUCUACCUGAAGAACAGAUAAGGCAAGCGAAAAUGACACCAGCAGCAUGUGGAGACAACGUACAGAAGAAACAAGCAGAGAAGAAUGCAGCUUGCGCAAUCAUCCCAGCGGAAGGAGUCUGAGAUGAAGAACAAGAGAAGCUGCCACAUCUGCUUGGAGAACAAAUAAGGAACUGCAACAUUCCCAAAGAGCAAAGCCUUGCAGUACAAUAGCAUAAAAUCAUCACUUGCAAGUGAAAAGCUAAGUGUCACCCUGUUCAAGAGGAAAGCUGUGGAAAGUCAACAAGCACGACCAAUGAUUACUUAUUAGUUUUAUUCAUUAUCUUUUAUCGUAAUUUUCAAUUUUUCGUUUGCAAUUUUUUUUUUUUAAUUAAUUUUCUUGCGUUACUUAACUGAAUUAUUUCUUUUCUUUGCAGGAACUUUUGGUUAUUUCCACCCUUGAAGUUGAUUGCAGAAUUUUAGCUUGGGGGUCAUCGCUUGAUUUUACUGCAAAUUAGGGAAGUUUUCAGUCCAAUUGCGUUAUUUUGUUUCUUAUUAUUAUUAUUAUUAUUAUUUUUUUUUUUUAUUAUUUGCAUUAUAGUGUUUUCUGACAUUGGGGACAAUGUCAAGUUUAAGUGUGGGGGUAGAAAUCUCUAGAAUUUCAUUUGUUUCUGUGUUGUUAGUUUUUGUUUUCUUAAAAAAAAAAAAAAAAAAAAAAAAUCGGAAAAUUUAAAAAAAUCCAAAAAUAUUGUCUUGUUUCCCUUAUUGUUUUGAAUUAGAUUUUUUGUUAGUUUCCCUACCCAAUGAUAUAAUUGGAUCAAAUUUGAACCAUGAUCAUCAAGAACUUAGUUAACAUGUGUUUUGUGAAAUUCCUAAUUCUCUUGUUAGUUUUGUACAUGUUUGAUCAUCUUUGAAAAACCAAAUGCACAUAGCCUUGUUGAUGUGAAACUAAAGUAUGAAUUAAAACUUCAUAUGUGAAUUUAGUGACCAUAUACAUCCUAUGUGAGUUUUUGAGCCUAUUGAAAGUGUGUGCAUUUUUCAUACACUCCUAUUCUUUUCAUGUGUGAUGAACUUAUGUGAGAUACAUCUCUAGAACUUGCGUAACGAUCUUUCGAAAUGUUUGUCAUUGAUUGCAUGAACUUGGAAAUGAUAGAGGCAUUAGGUUUACCACCAUGGCUCAAAUAACCAUGUUUCCCAAAGAAAAAUGAUAUCAUUAGAUUACCAAUUUGAGCCGUGUAUGUUGAGCCUUUUAUUUCUUAUCACCAGAUAUGCAUACCCUUAUACCUGAAACAUUUUUCCUUACCCUUUCCAAGCGAGCAUUGCGAGAUUGUCUUAUGAGAAACGUUUGUGAAGUACUGUGAAGAUGUUUAGCAAAAGAUUAAGUGUGGGGGUAUUUCAUGUUUGUAUUAAAAAAAAAAAAAAAAAAAAAAAAAAAAAAAAAAAAAGAAAAAGAAAAAGAAAAAGAAAGAUUGUAUACGAAGAAAAAAAAAAAGAAGAAAAAAAAAAGAAAAUAAAAAGUUUUUUUUAAAAGUUUCAGUUUAAGGGUAUGGUUGGAGGUGCUAGAAGAAUCGCUGAAAAAAUUGAGUUCUUAUAAAUCUAAACAAAAGAAUUGCUUGCAAUAUAGCUUGGAACUUGUGUUUUCCUAUUCUUUCAUUUCAAUAACCCUAUCCCUAAGCCUCAUUACAUCCAAUAAAAGUCCUCUUGAUUUAAGUUUUGCAAUUAUGACUGUGGAGAAGUGAUCUUUAUGCAAGCUUAUGGUAGAAAUUUCACAUUUGUUUCUUUGAGCGAAACACAUUAAAACUAAACACAUGUGUGAUUGAGUGCAUAUCCCGUGAGAAGGUCACUAGUUUGCAUAUGAUGAUUUUAAAAAUAAAAACUUGAAAUUGCAUUAGCAUGGCUAUCUCACACACUACACUUCAAGGAUGAUUUGAAGACUACUGCUAAUAUUUGAAUAAGGAAGAUGAACUUGGAUUAGUUCCUUGAUGCUAGCUAUGGUUCUUGAUGAUUUGUUUUCUUAAAUGAAAUUCUAUGAGGGUCAGAUAGGGAGAAACUAAUGUUUUUCUUGUUACUUCUUGUUCUUGUUUUCUUUGUUUUGCUCGAGGACUAGCAAAAGUUAGUGUGGGGGUAUUUGAUCGGAUGAUAUUUAUAUAUAUUUUUACUUCGAAUUCACUCGUCUUUUCUUAGUUAGUUCCUUAUAUUUUUAAGCUAUUUACGUUAUUUUUGUGUUUAUAGGAUUUGUUAUGCAAAGAAAAUAAAAAUAGAACAAGUGAAAUUUUAUGUAAUAAAUUCGUCAAAAGCAAAUUUAAAUUACAAUAUUGCUAAUCCAUUGUGACGCUAAAUGAUAAACCAAUAUUUAAACUAUAUAUUUCAUCCUUUUAUAAUUCUUUUCUUGUCUAAUUUAGUUGGAAGCUUUAAGUAUUUAUGAUACUUUUGAUAUAUUGUGUUUGUAGGAGUAACAUGAUCAAAAGAACUUAUUUUUCUGCUAUGUGGGGUUGCUAGAAACUAAAUGAAAAUAAAAGGAGACAGCUAAGAGGGAAUGAGUAAGCUGCCCUUGCAGCUUUGAAAAGUCAAAAGGAAAUGGCAUAAAAAAAUAACAAAAGGAGACGUGGGCGGAAAGAGCUGCCUGGCAGCUUUGAACAGCAAUAAAAAUAGAAGAGGGCAGCGUGGGGAAGAAAACAGCUGCCUAGCAGCGUGAGCAAGGCAGAGUCGCAGCAAGGCUGCCAGAGACGAAAAGGGGGAUUGACAGCAAGCAGAAAAGAGGAGCGGAAAAGAGUAACGUGGUAUGCGCAGAGAGAAGUGGACGGACAGCGCGGAGAAGAAUAAAAAAAAAAGGGAAAUAUAAAUGAACUGGAAAGCAGAAGGCGCAUAAAAAAGAUAUAUAGAAGAGAGGGCAGAGAGCAGUGGGGAGGAGGUGAUUUUGGGGGGGGAAUUGGUGGAAGGCAGAGGGCUGCCCUUUGGGCAGCGUGAAGCUACGGAGAGAAGGGAAGCGUGAAGCUCGCAGACGUGGAGAGGGAGAGAGGUCAGGAGGUCAGCUCGCAGACGCAGGAGAGGAGAUAGACACGGGGAGAAGGGAGACUGACGGGCACAGUGAGAAGAAAAUUAGAGGCUUCACUCCAUUUCUCUCGGUUAAAUCUUUUCAAACUUCUAUUUUAUUUUUGUUUUAAUAAUGUGUAAUUAAAUUUAUUUUAGCUAGAGGUUAAUUCAAAGCCAUGAAUAUAUUUGUAAUAUGAAUUGAUUACCUUCGGUUGUGAUUUCAUAAGUUGUGAUUUCAAUUUACUUAUCCGUUCGUAUAAAAACUGAUUUGUGUAUGUUGGUUGAGAGUGCACGCUUAAUUUACAUGCAUGAAUUUGAUGCUAGAAUAUAAGUGAAUUUCACCUAAUCGUUAUGAACUUAUUUUCACAAGUAGUAAAGGUUGCUAGUCACAAUCACGUUAAGUAAAUUCUUGGCAAGAGUAUCAUGCUUUUCAUAGUUACGAAUGCCUCGUCAAUGCUUAUAGUUUUCACAAAGUUUAAUGAUCUUUGAUUGUAUCUCUCUAUUGUGCUUUUCACGUAGGGGACUUUUGAAGAAUGUUUUUGAAUUGUUGUAUGCGUUUUUCCGUCCAAUUCAAUAACUUAAGGAAAACUUGAAGAUUAAAAAAGUGCUGUUCACGGUUAAUCUGGAGUAUUGAGAUUCACAAUUUAUUGAAAGAACAACUGAAAAUCAAUUUAGGUUGCAUAUGUGUCAUGUGUGGAGAAGAACCCUCUAGCUAGUCCGUCAUUUAUCAUUUUACCUUAAUUUUAUGUUUUUGUCAAUUCUGUAAUUUAAUUAAGUUUAAUUUACUUUUCAUCAAAACCAAACACCCAUCCAUUAUUAAAUUAUAUUAUUUAGUUAGUUUUCUUUAUUGUUAGUCUUUUAAUUUAAUUUCCGUCCAUUUCAGUUCCUAGUGUUUAAUUUAAUUGUUUUCAUUAUUUUGAGUCAUUUUAAGUGUGUUUCGAGUUAUUAGAGUUUUUAGCCUAAUUUUAUGUCCUUGAGUCUUAUUUAAUAUUUUUAAAUUAAUUUAGAAUAGAUUAGCAAUCCCUCCUAAUCCCCGGCCUAGAACGAUACCCUACUUACAUCUAUACUACAAUUGUCAAAAAGAGGGUUUAAUUUGUGUGCUUAUAUAUUUCGCAUCAAUUUUCUUGUGCCGUCAAGGGUUCGUAAAAAACUAUAAGAACCAGCCUACUAAUUAGUGGCUUAUGCAAGCUUUUUGAAUUCGAUUGUAACACUUUUCCUCGGAGCUUCAUGAACAUCCCUAAUCAUUCUCGUUCUAGUCCAUUCACCAUAGCUAGCCACUCCCCCACUAGCAGUAGGUGCAGAGCACUCAAGACUAGCAUGCCCAAUUUUUCCACAAUUAUAGCAGAAGUCCUGCAGUCUUUCGUAUUGAAACUCAACCCAUGACUCGUUGUGUCCUUCCCGAGUAACCCAUCAUCCACUUGCUAGGGAUAUGGUAGUGUCUACCAGUACCCGAAUCCUAAGGAAACCCCUAGCUUUGGAUAUGUCCUCGACCUCCAGCAGCUCACCACAUCUACUUGCUAGGCGACUUAUGUUUUCUGUAGAGCACAGACGCGGUGGAAUACCUUUCAUCUGAACCCAAAAAGGAACCAAAUGCAUCGGGAUUUCUUCCAUUGCAAGCUCAUCAACCCAUCUUUUAACAGAGAGGUUUUGUUUCAUCACAGCCCAAGGCACCAUUUCCAGGAUUUUUGAUGCUAUAUUCUCAUCACGAACCAGAAUCACAUACAAAUUACCGUGAACCCAGUUGAUAUGAAUCUCCCCAUAUUCUUUCCAAGCACUCUUCAGGAUGUUUUUUACCCCCCAUUUAUUAAGCUGUUGGUCCACCAAAAUCUUAGCUAUCAGUUUGACUCCACUUUCCAUAUUUGAAAUCUCCAUGCCACUAGCCAAUUGAACAGCCAGAUCUUCCACUUCGUUUGUCAUCUUCUCUCUGAACCACUUUGUCUUAGUUCGCUGGAUACCUGGGGCACCAAAUUUCUUUCUCAGACUACCCACCCACUGGAUAUUCCAAUAUUCCUGAUUUCUACUGCAGAUAGCAAAAGGAAUAGACCCACUGGUGCACAGGUUGGUGACAGCAUAGUAAAUGCUCUCUCUUUUAUUCACAGCGUAGUCCUUUCCAAAGUUGCCUUUAAAUUUCUUACUAGUUUGUUGGGUUCCAUUAAUCUCCUACCAUUUGUCUCAUAAAUACCCCCCAUCAAUUCAAGGUUAGGAGACUCCUCCAUCAAGCCGUCGUUGGCAGGCCUCUCUAUCAGUACCUGACCUCCAAAUCUCAUUAAUAGCCAGAAACCCAACCCUCCUCUGUAUUCAGUAUUAAUGACAGCAAGUGUAGUACUGAACGUACCUCGAUCGGCCCACCUCCUCUCUAGAUCCAUGUACCACUGAGGGCAGAAGGCAAUUGUAGCCAGUUGCACCAUGCUGAUCAGGAAAGCCAACCUUUUAUUGACCACCUCGCAGUUCCACAUGGGAAAGAUGGCAACCCACGAGGUGAAAGCUCUAUUUAAUUGCAAAACCCACCUUCUUGAAGUAAGAAUUGAAAGCUUCCAAACCACACAAAAAAAAAGUUCAAGACCAAUUAGGGUUAACGCAGCUAAACCCCCAAACAAGAACCAAAACUAAGGCAUAAACAAAAACACCCGGACCGCAAGGACGAAGAACGAAAUUGCAAACAGCGCUGGGAACCCACAAGAGCUACCACUCACAAGGAGGGAAACACUCUCACAGAGGAGAGAACGCUCUCACGGAGGAGAGAACUACUGGUAUGGUUAUCAUGUUGUUUGAAUUUGUGAUGCAUUAUAUCUUAUAUCUAUACAUUCAAUACAUAUAUAUACACACACACAUUUUGAACUGUUGCUAACUAUUAGUAGCAAUAUAAUUGGUGUGGUCUACAUGUAUAACCAAAGUCCUUUAUUGCCACAUGUCGGUAAGAACCUCCCACAAAUGUGUCCUAUGUCUUACAUGGCCGGUCCCAAGCCCGGAUAAAGGAGGAGGGGGAGGGCGUCAGGUAGUCGACAGCCGGCACUCCAUGAUCACGUCGAAUCCUUAUGAAAAUGAAUCCAGAACAAAAUCGCGCUAAAGCUAGGGCGUCACCCGUAAGUGGCGCGCUGUGUGGCCCGAGCACAGUGAUAAGUGAGCAAGGGUCGCUGUAUCUCCAUCGGCACCCGGAUGCAGUGUUAAAUGAGCAAGGGGGCCAUAGAAACUUCUUUUCGAACGACUCCACUCAAAGUUGUUUGGGAGCAUAUGCUCCUAUCAACUUUACCCGGGACACACAAAAGAAGUACUUUGAUCCUAUUAGACGGGGGAGGGUGAAGAAGCUAGGACAGAAGGGUAGAGUUCAAGAGAGCAAAAUGCGUUUAGGAACGUGGAAUAUAGGAACCUUAACGGGAAAAUCUAUGGAAGUAGUGGAAGUUAUGGUGAGGAGAAGGAUAAAUAUUAUGUGCCUACAAGAAACUAAGUGGGUUGGUAGUAAGGCAAAGGAUCUAGAAAACUCAGGGUUUAAACUUUGGUAUUCGGGCACAAAUAGAACGAGAAACGGUGUUGGCAUCAUCGUGGACAAGACCUUGGUACAAGAUGUUGUAGAUGUCAAGAGGGUAGGAGAUAGAAUCAUGGCAAUCAAGAUUGUAAUAGGACAAGAACUUAUCAAUGUGAUUAGUGCGUACGCACCUCAAGUAGGGUUGGAUACGAGUUCGAAGGAGAAAUUUUGGGAAGAUCUUGGAGACUUGGUGCAAGGAAUUGCUCAGACGGAGAAGUUAUUUAUAGGAGGAGAUUUAAAUGGACACGUGGGCAGGGAGACAGGCAACUAUGGAGGUUUUCAUGGUGGCCAUGGUUUUGGGGAGAGAAACGAGGAUGGGGAAGCUAUCUUGGAUUUUGCAAUGGCAUAUGAUCUCUUCUUAGCCAACACCUUCUUUAAGAAGAGAGAAGAACAUGUGAUCACCUACAAGAGAGUGGGUCGUCAAAAACACAAAUAGAUUUUCUUCUAAUGAGGAAAGGGGAUCGUAUAACUUGUAAGGAUUGCAAAGUUAUACCAGGAGAGAGCGUGGCUAAUCAACAUCGCUUGUUGGUGAUGGAUGUACAUAUCAAAAGAGUAAGACAAAAGAACAAGACUUGGAAGUGCCCAAGGACUAGAUGGUGGAAUCUAAAGAAGAAAAACAAGCCAUUUUCAAAGAGAAAGGUAAUCACCCAAUGUGUGUGGGAUAGAGAGGGGGAAGCUAGCCAAAUGUGGGAUUCCAUGGCUAGUUGUAUCCGAAAAGUAGCAAAAGAGGUAUUAGGAGAGUCCAAGGGCUUUGCCCCACACCAAAAGGAAUCUUGGUGGUGGAAUGAGGAGGUACAAACAAAGGUGAAGGCUAAGAAGGAAUGUUGUAAAGCCUUAUACAAGGAGAGGACCGAUGAAAAUGGUGAAAGGUAUAGAAAAGCGAAGCAAGAGGCGAAGAAAGCUGUCAGAGAAGCUAAGUUAGCGGCUUACGACGAUAUGUAUAAACGACUAGAUACCAAAGAAGGAGAGUUGGAUAUCUAUAAACUAGCUAGAGCAAGGGAAAAGAAGACAAGGGACCUAAACCAAGUGAGGUGCAUCAAGGAUGAGGAUGGAAAGGUUCUUGCUACAGAGAACGCGGUUAAAGACAGAUGGAGAGGUUAUUUUCAUAAUCUUUUCAAUGAAGGACAUGAAAUGAGUGCUUCUUUAGGGGAGUUGAGUAACUCAGAAGAGUGUAGAAACUACUCUUUUUAUCGUCGAAUCCGGAAGGAAGAAGUGGUUGUAGCUUUGAAGAAGAUGAAGCAUAAAAAAGCAAUAGGCCCAGACGAUAUACCAAUCGAAGUGUGGAAACUUUUGGGAGAGACAGGUAUAACAUGGCUCACUGACCUUUUCAAUAGGAUUUUGAAAACGAAGAAGAUGCCAAAUGAGUGGCGAACGAGCACUUUGGUGCCUAUCUACAAGAAUAAGGGCGACGUACAAAAUUGCAUGAACUAUAGGGGUAUUAAGCUAAUGAGUCAUACAAUGAAGCUCUGGGAGAGAGUCAUUGAGCAUAGAUUGAGGCAAGAGACACACGGGUUUCGGACAACCAAUUCGGGUUCAUGCCAGGGCGCGCUCAACCAUGGAGGCAAUCUAUCUCUUACGAAGAUUGAUGGAAAGAUAUAGAGAUGGGAAAAAGGAUUUACACAUGGUCUUUAUAGAUUUGGAAAAAGCGUAUGAUAGGGUCCCAAGAGACAUUCUUUGGAGGAUUUUAGAGAAGAAAGGAGUACGAGUAGCAUAUAUCCAAGCUAUAAAGGAUAUGUAUGAAGGAGCAAAGACUGCCGUAAGAACUCAUGAAGGACAAACCGAAAGCUUUCCCAUAACUGUAGGAUUACAUCAAGGCUCAUCCUUAAGUCCUUACCUUUUUGCGUUGGUAAUGGAUGAGUUAACAGGACAUAUUCAAGAUGAUAUUCCUUGGUGUAUGCUUUUCGCAGACGAUAUAGUGUUGAUAGAUGAAACUCAGGAAGGGGUAAAUGCAAAGCUUAACCUUUGGAGAGAAGUGUUGGAAUCUAAAGGUCUUCGCCUAAGCCGAUCAAAGACAGAAUAUAUAUGGAGUGCAAGUUCAGUGCAAAUGGAGGCCAAAACGAGUUAGGGGUGAGGAUCGGAGAUCAAGAAAUACCAAAGAGCGACCGUUUUCGUUACCUAGGAUCUAUCUUGCAAAAGAACGGAGAAUUAGAUGGAGAUCUCAACCAUAGAAUACAAGCUGGAUGGAUGAAGUGGAAGAGUGCAUCCGGCGUGUUGUGUGACCGCCGUAUGCCACUGAAGCUCAAGGGAAAAUUUUAUAGGACGGCAAUAAGGCCGGCGAUGCUGUAUGGCACAGAAUGUUGGGCGGUGAAACAUCAACACGUACACAAAAUGGGUGUAGCGGAGAUGAGGAUGCUUCGUUGGAUGUGUGGGCACACGAGAAAGGAUAAGAUUAGGAAUGAGGAUAUCCGGGGUAAAGUAGGAGUAGCCGAAAUUGAAGGAAAGAUGAGAGAAAAUCGGUUACGGUGGUUUGGACAUGUGCAAAGAAGGCCUACUGACGCUCCGAUUAGAAGAUGCGACUAUGGGACAGAGGUUCAGGGCCGAAGGGGUAGAGGAAGACCUAGGAAAACUUUGGAAGAGACUCUAAGAAAAGACUUAGAGUACUUGGAUCUAACGAAGGACAUGACACAGGAUCGAGCACAAUGGCGUUCUAAGAUUCAUAUAGCCGAUCCCACUCAGUGACUUGGAUUUUCCAAGUCUCCAACCGAGAAGUUUUCCUCACUCGGAAAAUUAAGGGAACACUACCCCAACCUACAUGCUCCACUCAGAAAGCUUCAACAUACAAGCUUCAACAAAAGAAAAUUCAAAGAACUUAGCGAAGAAGGCUUUGGUGUAUUUAACACAAUACGUUGAAAUGAAGGAAAGCUUAUUUAUUGAUAUCCCCGAUAAGCUACAAAUAUGUACAUAUACAUGAGUCAAAAUAAACAACACAAGAGGGAGCCUUCACAAAGGUUGCUUAGGAGAAGUCUCAGCAGUCGGUAGAGCCCCAGAAAGAGAAGGCACCGGAGGGGGAUCAUUUGGAGCCUCAGUACUGGACAGAACCCUAGAAGGAGGAGGCAUCAGAGGUUGAUCAUUUGGAGCUUCAUUACGCGGUACAGCCCCAGAAGACGAAGGCAAUAAAUGCCUUUGGAACAAACCCACAAAUCUCUGAUGAUCAAGUAAAACCUGACCAUCAGUUUCCUUCAUCUGGUCAAGCUUCCUCUUCAUGUUUGUAGCAUAGUCAUGUGCGAGCCGGUGCAACUGUUUAUUCUCAUGCUUGAGCCCUCUAAUCUCCUGUUUGAGACUCAUCACUUCAGCCGCCAAUGAUUCAACUUGGCGGGUUCGAGCAAAUAGGCGUUGGGCCAUAUUAGACACAGAACCUGCACACUGAACACACUGAGAGCCAGCGAAUCCUUAACAGCUAACUCAUCAGACCGUUUGGAAAGUAGUCUGUUAUCUUUGGGAGUGAGAAGGUUCCUGGCCACCACCGCAGCGGUCAUAUCAUUCUUCAUCACGGAAUCCCCAACGGUAAGAGGACCAGUAGGGGAGACGAAGGAUGGGCGCCAUAUGUUGUCUGGAGAAGGCGGGGCUGCCUCUUCAACAAGGUUCAAGUCAAAACGACGGUCGGAGGGGCCAGACAUUUUCAAAGGUGUUGAAGAGAGAAGAGGUCGGACAAAUCAAGAUCUUAGAAGUGCAAGAAUGAAGCUUCUACUGGUGGAGAUUCAAGUGUGCUUUGGAACUUAAUGCCAGCCCCUAUAAAAAUCUGCACUCGACGGAGCUUCAGAAAUCGAAGAGGCGCCUGCUCAGAAAUCGAAGAGGCGUUUGCUUUCUCAAAAGCUGGGCUGCUUAGAGAUCACGAGGGUUGAUCUCAGAAAUCGAAGAGGCGUUUGCUUUCUCAAAAGUUGGGCUGCUCAAAGACCACGAAGGCCGAUCUCAGAAAUCGAAGAGGCGCUCGCUUUCUCAAAAGCUGGGCUCCCCAGAGACCACGAGGGCCGAUCUCAGAAAUCGAAGAGGCACCUACUUUUCCAGCCUUGUCAGCACCUGUCACACGCACACUCAGCUUUGCGGAAAUUAUGGGCAUUCUGUCGAAGACUUCUGGGGAAGUAGAAAACACAUGAAUCUUACUGUUCAAUCACCCACUUCCCACACGCAACAAUAGCUCAUGGGUACCACAGAUAACUUUGCCAAAGUUCUCUGCCAAAGUUGAGCACGUGAAGCUUGCAGCUCCCACUACAUCGCUCUGACCAAGAAGGGUAAAAGAAUAGCAAAGAAACAGCACUAACAAAGUUUAGACCCAUAAAUUUUGAAGGUCUAGCUACCAUAUUAUUACCCACAAGGGUAAAGGAACAGUACCACUGCUGGAUAAUUGGAAAGUCCCUGUGUGUCAACCUCUGUGCUUCGUGGCAAGGUAGACUAGCAAACAUGCCCAACCUUUACUCACAUUCGAGAAAACACUCCCAAUAAGAUUGCUUGCUCCAAAAUCGAAGAGGCACCGUCCUCCGAAUCUCGAGAGCCAGACUACUUUUCUUAAAAAUCGAAGAGAGGGUAAAGGAACAGUACCAUUGCUGGAUAAUUGGAAAGUCCCUGUGUGUCAACCUCUGUGCUUCGUGGCAAGGUAGACUAGCAAACAUGCCCAACCUUUACUCACAUUCGAGAAAACACUCCCAACAAGAUUGCUUGCUCCAAAAUCGAAGAGGCACCGCCCUCCGAAUCUCGAGAGCCAGACUCCCAACAUGAUUACUUUCUCAAAAAUCGAAGAGACACUGCUCCCCGAAUCUUCGAGAGCCAGACCCCCAGCAUGAUUGCUUUCUCAAAAAUCGAUGAGGCAUCGUUCUCCGAAUCAAUCGAAGAGGCGCUCGCUUUCUCAAAAGCUGGGCUGCUCAGAGACCACGAGGGCCGAUCUCAGAAAUCGAAGAGGCACCUACUUUUCUAGCCUUGUCAGCACCUGUCACACGCACACUCAGCUUUGCAGAAAUUAUGGGCAUUCUGUCGAAGACUUCUGGUGAAGUAGAAAGCACAUGAAUCUUACUGUUCAAUCACCCACUUCCCACACGCAACAAUAGCUCAUGGGUACCACAGAUAACUUUGCCAAAGUUCUCUGCCAAAGUUGAGCACGUGAAGCUUGCAGCUCCCACUACAUCGCUCUGACCAAGAAAGGUAAAAGAAUAGCAAAGAAACAGCACUAACAAAGUUUAGACACAUAAAUUUUGAAGGUCUAGCUACCAUAUUAUUACCCACAAGGGUAAAGGAACAGUACCACUGCUGGAUAAUUGGAAAGUCCCUGUGUGUCAACCUCUGUGCUUCGUGGCAAGGUAGACUAGCAAACAUGCCCAACCUUUACUCACAUUCGAGAAAACACUCCCAACAAGAUUGCUUGCUCCAAAAUCGAAGAGGCACCGUCCUCCGAAUCUCGAGAGCCAGACUCCCAACAUGACUACUUUCUCAAAAUCGAAGAGAGGGUAAAGGAACAGUACCAUUGCUGGAUAAUUGGAAAGUCCCUGUGUGUCAACCUUUGUGCUUCGUGGCAAGGUAGACUAGCAAACAUGCCCAACCUUUACUCACAUUCGAGACAACACUCCCAACAAGAUUGCUUGCUCCAAAAUCGAAGAGGCACCGCCCUCCGAAUCUCGAGAGCCAGACUCCCAACAUGAUUACUUCCUCAAAAAUCAAAAUCGAAGAGACACUGCUCUCCGAAUCUCGAGAGCCAGACCCCCAGCAUGAUUGCUUUCUCAAAAAUCGAAGAGGCAUCGUUCUCCGAAUCUCGAGAGCCAGAUACCACAGACCACUUUUUCAAAGUGCUCUGACAGAGUUAAAACAUGUGAAACUGGCAGCUCCCACUACCGUGCUAUGACCAAGCAGGGUAAAGGAAUAGCAUUACUACUUGUUGUUAGGGAGACUCCUAUAUAUGUCGACCUCCAUCCCCAACGGACAGGCAGACCUGCAAAAAUGCUCAACCCUUCAUCAUAUCUGAGAGGGCACUCCCAACGAAGCCUUUCGAAAUAUUCAGCUUUCUUUCCCCCCGAUAAUACCUCUGCAAACAAGCUAUACUAGAGCAAGAAUAUCUCAUAUCAUCAGGGUUAAAAGCAAGAGUAUCCCAUAUCAUGCUUUUUUCCCUGUCUUUUCCUUUGGCCUUGUUUUUACCUGCAAGACAAGGAGAAAGAGAGCAAUCAGUCAGCACUUGGAAUCAAGCUUCCAGCCAGGAACUGACUGCCUGGAACCCCUUACCUGAUUACUUACCUGGCAUUGCUCUCGAGUACUCAUCUUCAACAUCUUAUGUUUCCAGGGAAGAUUCCGCAUCUGCUUGAGGAACAGAUAGGGCAAGUGCGAAGGAUACAAGGAAGCAUGUGGAGACAAGCGUAACAGCACACGUGCCGAUACAUCCAUUACUCUGUCAAAAGCAAAAGUAUCCCAUAUCAGCAGGGUGGAACGUACUCUAGAUUUGAUGGACUUGUUUUGACCCUCAAAUUCUUCAGUCGGCCUUAUACUCUGGAGGAAACCAGAAAACCCUCCAGCUCAGUUCAAGAAUAAGCCUGUGGAAAGUUACUUCUUCAAAAGCAAAAGUAUCUCAUAUAUCAUCUCUUUCUCAUUUUUCUUCUCUUUAUCCUUCAUGCUGCUGCAAGAUGGGGAGAAGGUGAACAAUCAGUCCGGAGCUCUGAUUGCUUACCUUGUCUGUCACCUCUUUCAGCAGACCCCCUAGCUCGGCGACUUGGGGACUCCUACUACAUGGUUUGUAUCGCGCUUGACCAAGCCUGAAACUACAAGUAAGCUUCAAGUGAAAUUGAUACAUUACCUUGUGCAUCUCCACCAGUUAAAGAUACCACCCCUGGAUGGAGGAAGAGUACUUCCAGAGAAGAUGCCACAUCUACCUAUGAGACAGAUAAGGCAAGUCAAGACGACACCACACUCCGAUACUUAGAAGUUUCGUGAUUACGAGAUCAUUCUCCCACAAUAUUUCCUAAUGUCAUUUGUACUAAAUCAUUCACUUGUACUCACUAAAGGAGAGCUUGAACCUAUGUACUUGUGUAAACCCUUCACAAUUAAUGAGAACUCUUCUAUUCCGUGGACGUAGCCAAUCUGGGUGAACCACGUACAUCUUGUGUUUGCUUUCCUAUCUCUAUCCAUUUAUAUACUUAUCCACACUAAUGACCGGAGCAAUCUAGCGAAGAUCACAAAAAGCGACCGUUUUCGCUACCUAGGAUCUAUCUUGCAAGAGAACGGAGAAUUAGAUGGAGAUCUCAACCAUAGAAUACGAGCUGGAUGGAUGAAGUGUAAGAGUGCAUCCGGCGUGUUGUGUGACCGUCGUAGGCCACUGAAGCUCAAGGGAAAAUUUUAUAGGACGGCAAUAAGGCCAGCGAUGUUGUAUGGCACAGAAUGUUGGGCGGUGAAGCAUCAACACGUACACAAAAUGGGUGUAGCGGAGAUGAGGAUGCUUCGUGGGAUGUGUGGGCACACGAGAAAGGAUAAGAUUGGGAAUGAGGAUAUCCGAGGUAAAGUAGGAGUAGCCGAAAUUGUAGGAAAGAUGAGAGAAAAUCGGCUCCGGUGAUUUGGACAUGUGCAAAGAAGGCCGAAUGACGCUCCGGUUCGAAGAUGUGACUACGGGACAGAGGUUCAGGGCCGAAGGGGUAGAGAAAGACCUAGGAAAUCUUUGGAAGAGACUCUAAGAAAAGACUUAGAGUACUUGGAUCUAACGGAGGAUAUGACACAAAACCGAGCGCAAUGGCGUUCUAGGAUUCAUAUAGCCGACCCCACUUAGUGGGAAAAGGCUUUGUUGUUGUUGUUGUUGUUAGUUUUCGAACAUAUUAGGUUUGUAACUUAUUUUUUCGCUUUUGGGUUUGUUACUUAUUUUAUUUUGGUUGUAUGUUAAUUUAACUUGGUAUGAAUAAUUGCUAUUUCAAUUUGUAUGAAAUUUGGGAAUACUGAACCAUCCCAAAAUACUGAAAAUAUUUCGAGAAUCUCGAAAAUUGGAAAUACCGAAAUUUUGGUUUGGGAUUGGUCUUCAAAUUCCAGUCCUGAAAGUUUUUAGUUUGGGAUUCGGGUUCCCACUUUCGGUUUGCAAUCCCAUACCGAACCUAAUAUAUUGUAUUGCUCUUUCUCUCUUCUUUGUAUCGUUAUAUAUUGUAUGAGUAAUGUUACACUUACCAUAUAUUUGUACUAUCCCUCUAAUAGAUGUAGGGUCCACCAACACUUGUGGGUAUCAUCUCUAUUACAGAGAUAAUACAAAUAAUGAUACAAGGAUGUGGUAAGGGUAGAAUUUUGGAUACAAUAUUUCUUAUAUAUUGUAUUUUUUGUUGCGAGUAAUGCUACAUUUACCAUAUUUUUUAUACAACAUUUAUACCAUUUUUCUAAUAAAGGAGGGUCCACCAACACAUGCGUGUCUCAUUUCUAUUAGGCCUUCCAUGGUAGGCAGAUCGAAAAAAGUGAGUGUGAUACCAAUAUAUUGAACCAUAUAGGAAUCACACUUUUAAAGUAGGUCAAAAAAUUUGAGUGUAAUACCAAUUUAUUGAACUCAUAAGUUCAAUUUAUCACACUCAUGAGUGUGGUAUCAAUAUAUUGAACUCACACCAGUCUAACUGUAGCAUUAUAAAAAUCAAACUCAUGAUGCAUGAUGCAUGAUUCCUAUAUAUAGGUAUUACACUUACUGGAACCACUGUAGAAGGCUUUAAAGAGGUGGUACAAAUAUGGUAUGAAAAAUGUGCUAAGAGUAGCAUUUUUGUUGCAAAAUAAAUAUUUGGAACAUCCACUAUUUUUCAUAUGGGGUAAAAAUCAAAGAACAUUAUGUAAAUGUACUUGAAAUAGAAAUUGUAAGGGUAGUUCAUCUAAAUUUUCAGUCUUAAAUAGUUCGGCCUGCUUGAACGAGCCGGAGAACGAACUGGAAAAAUACCACCAAAAUCGUGUCACGUUUCUCUAAUUCUAUGUUUGGACGAAGGACUUUCAAGGUGUCGUUUUAAAAAGUUCUCUCUUAUGUUGUGCAUUCCUAAAUAAUUUAGCCUAUGCCCAUGAAACUUUCAAGUCAGAAGUUCUAAAAACCCUUGAAAACUCUCACAAUGACUAAGGAAUUGGGUUAUAAAAGCUUUGAAGUUUGGUAUAAAAUUUCUAAAUUUUUUAGCAGUGCAAGAAACAUCAUAUUUUUCAUAAAAAGAUCUCUCAUUUCAUUACAUAAACUUAGAUUUACAAAAUUACCUGAUAUUUACACGCAAGUAGAAAAAAUGUACUGCGAGGCCGGGAACGGGCUUGGUAUCGGACCCCUGCGAUACGGUGAGUUCGACAAAUCCGGGUGAGACCAUGAAUCAUAUUGAGAUAACACAAGUUGACAUGAUCCAGUUUUCAGAAAUCAUUCAACUCCAGGUAAAACCAUAACCAUUUUAAUGCAGAUAUCUUAACUAGAUGCUAGAAGAGUAUCCACAAAAAUAAAAUUGGGUACAAAAUACUUACAUUUUUAUUUGAGGUACCAACAAACACGACUGCACGAACCCUCCAUAAAAUUUACCAAAGGAGUCCUUUUCUGCAGCACAUGAAGAUGCAUCGAUACGAAUAAGCUAGGCACCGUCGUUGUUCUCAAGUAAAUCCGGGACCAGGAAAGUUCCUUUGAGCACCAAAAGGCCACAGCCUGCUUAAGCCAAAAUCCAAAUUAGACUCCCUUUUUUCGGUGCAUGUAAGCCUCACCUUAUCAUAGAGUAUGGUGUAGUUUGAGCUGCUUAUGUUUCUGAAAUAACAUGAUUGGGGACCAUCGAAUCUAUACACUUGCUGUGUACUCCCCAAUCCCCUAACUAGCAGAUUGUUUUUUACAACGAUAAUAACCUCGGCAUUUUGCAGAUUUUGGAGAGAGCUGUUCGAGAAUCGUGAACCAGCACUUGCAGACUUCUUCUCAAUAAAUCCCAAUUCGACAUUUGUAACGACUGUAUAUGAUUCAUUUGCUUGCUCCAUGUAGUCAGUGUACAAGUAAAGAGGAAAUGUUUUGUUUGAUGACAUUGAGUGAAUACUGGAGGAUGGCGGCCUGAUAUUGAUUGUAUCGUUGAAAUGGAUGACCUGAUUCACUAUCUGUGUAUUACCAUCAUUCCUCAUGACCAUUGUAUUGCUGUACUGGAAGUCUUGAAUUGCAUCAGUUGUGAUAUUCCCAUAGGAGGACUUCACCCAUCCAGUCGAUGACACAGACCUGCCGGCCCUAGUAAAAAAUGUGCCAUUUAAACCCUUGAAAUCUGAAACCAAUGAAACAACAAGGGGCAAGCUACUAUGCUUCAAAAGCUCACCUUCAGUUUUCGUGCUCCGCUUGUCCAACCAAAGAUGCAAAUUCGCAUCAAGAAGCCAAACAUUCAAGGCAUUUGUAACACUAAAACCAAACUUGUGUCUCUUCCCAUCCAAUAUCUUCCCUAAGAAGGGCGUGAUUUCAAUAUCAUAAGAAGGGAGAUCGAACGAGCCAAUUGCAGUAAUAGGUCUCCACAGGAGCGGAUUGACCCCUCCAGUGAAAAUCACAGUAAAAGGCCAGACUGCACCAACAACCUCACCAUCUAAACUCACCACAACCUCCCUAAAAGGCCCAUUUCCAGGCGUACCACUAAGAUUGUUUGCAGCAAUGUACUCAUUCGGAGGAUUUGAAUACCAAAACUCAUCAUUCUCAUGAAAUGAAACAUACACCUCCAACACAGCCCUAUAAGCAUUCUGUGGAAUCUCAAAUUCCUUCAACUGUGUAUCGGUCGAAUUCUGGAUUUCAAACCACAACCCAUCAUUCAAAGGCUGAUUUCUCGAAAUGGGCAAGAUUAAAUCGGCCCAAGAAUGGUACCCAGAAUCCAAAUUUACCAAAUUUUGCUCAUAGUUAUAAUUCAAAUUCUUCUCAGCAGGGUAAAAAUGGAUGCUAAUAUUCACAUGGUAAAUCCCAGUAUAUGUUUCAUUUACUAAAUUCCCAAGAUAAACAGCUAGUGUUUGAUUCUUCUGAAGCAAAGAAUAGUACCUUGUGAUGUCCUUCUUGACACUCCAAACAAUCCCAGUCUGCGUCGGCUCAGCCGUGCAGCCCCUGAGAAGCUCAACGCCGCCGAGCCAAACCCCGAAAAUUCGAUCAUAUUGCCUCCCUCUGCAGGUGGCUUUCCACUCGAGGACAAUUUUGGAAAAUGAUUGAGAUGGGCAGUGCGAGGGAGGGUUGUAGUUAGCAAAGACCGGAGGUUUGCCGUAUGUGUACCCGAAGUCGUGCUGGAGAACGUGCUGGGUGCAGGGCUUGGUUUUGGGGAGUUCUAUGGGUUUGGUUACUUCGAAGAAGAGAGUUGGUGCGGCGUCGUUUCGAAGGGUGGGCUGGGAGAGGAGCUCGGAUCGGAGGAGGUUGAGUUUGUGGACAUUGGCGGCAGAAAAGAGUGGUUGGUGAAGGAGGAGCGGGAGGAGGAGGAGGAGGAGGAGGGCCAACGGAGAGCCCAUGAGUGACUGGCUGGUGGUCUAGCUGUCUGUUGCUUCGGUGGGUUUUACUUUGUUUUGGCGCUAUUAUUUAUUUAUUUAUAUUUCUUUGUUUUUGUUUCUGUUAUAAGUUUCUUGGAGUUGCGGCUUGAAUUUCAUUGUAUUACAUAAUAAACAAUAUAUACAAGAUACAAUCCUUGUUUUAAAAGGAAACAAUAAAGGGCAUACACAUAUCCUUUAUAAUAAAGGAUUUUAAUAUUUACAAUAUAUUUACAUGCCUUUUUUAAUACCACUCACGACAACACUCUCCCUCAAGUUAGAGCAUAGAUAUCACAUAUGCUCAACUUGACAAGUGAGUCACCAAAAGAUCUACUCGACACGGCAUGAGUGAGGAUAUCAGCAAGCUGCUCUUCUAAGUUCACAAACAAUAUUGAAACAAUUUUCUUCUCCAGCUUCUCCUUAAUAAAAUGACGAUCAACCUCCACAUGCUUUGUUCUAUCAUGUUAUACCGGGUUCUUUGCAAUCUCCCGUGCAAAUUUAUUAUCACAAUACAAACUUGUCGCCUCUUUUGCUUUGAAACCUAGACCACCAAGUAACUUACAUAACCAAAGGACUUCUCAUAUUCCAUGUGUCAUACCUCUGAAUUCGGCAUCAGCUGACGAUCUUGAUACCACAUUUUGCUUCUUACUCCUCCAAUUAACUAGAUUUCCAACAACAAAUGUAAAGUACCCAGAAGUAGAGCGUCUAUCAGUUACAUCACAUGCCCAAUUAGCAUCAGUAAAUCCUUCAAUCCUCAGAUGGCCGGAAUUUUUAUACAAAAUUCCUUUUCCUGGAGCCGACUUCAAAUAAGCUAAAAUCCGCAUAACAUCUGCCAUAUGAUCCACACUUGGCAAGUGCAUAAACUAACUCACCACACUUACUGCAUAGGCUAUAUCCGGACGAGUAUGAGCUAAGUAAAUUAGUCUUCCUACCAGUCUCUGAUAUCUGCAUUUAUCCACUGGUCCUUGAUCCAGAUAAAUUCCCAAGUAAUGUUUCUCCACAAUGGGAGUAUCCACGGGUUUACACCCAAGCAUCCCUGUUUCCUUCAAUAAAUCCAGAACAUAUUUAUGUUGAGACAAGAAAAUACCUUUGGACGAAUGAGCAACUUCCACACCAAGGAAAUACUUCAAAUCACCUAAACUCUUCAUCCCAAACUCGGCAGAAAGGUUCUUCUCCAGUUUGACAAUUUCAUCUGAAUCAUCACCUGUUAUUAUCAUAUCAUCUACAUAAAUAAUCAAAACUAUUACUUUACCGUUUCUCUGCUUCACAAAUAAAGUAUGAUCAGAAUGACUUUGAUAAUACCCAUUCUUUCUCAUAGCCUGAGUGAACCUCCCAAACCAUGCACGUGGUGACUGCUUAAGCCCAUAAAGAGACUUCUGCAAUCGGCACACUUCCAUUUUUCCGCCGUUGCUAUACCCUGGAGGGAAGUCCAUAUACACUUCUUCCUCCAGAUGUCUGUGAAGAAAUGCAUUUUUUACAUCAAACUGUUUCAGUGGCCAAUUCAAAUUUGCAACUAGUGAAAUAAGAAAUCGUACCGUAUUCAUCUUAGCCACGGGAAAGAAAGUUUCAUGGUAAUCAACUCCGUACGUUUAAGUAUACCUUUUCGCCACCAACCUUGCUUUAUACCUGUUAAGCGAUCCAUCAGCCUUGUAUUUCAUAGUAAAGAUCCAUCGGCACCCAAUUGGUUUUUUUCCCUUUGGCAUCUUAACUAUUUCCCAAGUAUUAUUUUUCUGUAAUGCCUUCAUCUCUUCAUCAAUUGCUUUGGUCCAUUCUGGACUCUUCAAAAUGUCUUUUACCUGAGUUGGUACCUGAAUUGAACUUAAUUGAAUCCAUAUUAUUCACCCACGCUUGACGUUCGGAUGACAGACUUUCACAUGACACAUAAUUGGCUAUGAGAUACUUCACUUUUCCUUCUGGAGAGAACCUGUCAGGAGGUACACCAUGAUUUUACCUUGGUGGCAAUUUAUAUGUACUUAUAAUAUCAUUAGUUAUAUGAGUAUCACUAGUGCUUACCUUAGGGAUAUCUAGAGAAGAUGCAUUGGACGACGACACUGUUGACCUAGAGAGAGGGGGGAAGCUUCGGCAAUAGUUGGCUGGUCACCAGUGCACUCCCAUUCGGCAGCAUCAAUACAUAGACUAUCAGUCUCUUCGUCGGUGGGAAGCUAUGGGAUACUUGGAGCAAGUUCGGUAGGACCCUGCUAUCUACUCACAACAGCAGGCUCGGCAGGAGGAGACCGAGCAUCAUCACUUACAUCACUCGACACAUCGUGCACUCCCCCUGAAGAUGUUUCCUUUUGUACAUCUAACCAUUCGAGAACACCAUCAAGAUCACAACUACCCUUGUGAUCGAAAUGUGGUGAUAUGGGAGUAUAAAAAUAUUCAGACUCAGAAAAGGUCACAUCCAUGGUGAUAUACACGUGACGAGUGGCAGGGUGGUAAAACUUAUAACCUUGGUGGUGGGAUGCAAAACCCACAAAGACACACAAAAGAGCACAAGAUCCAAUUUACUAUGAUGAAUCUUGUGAAUAUGAACAUAAGCUAUGCAUCCAAACACUCGAGGAGUGAGUGUAUUGGUAGAAACAACCGGAACAUGCUUCAUCAACACUUGGAGUGGAGUAUGAAAUUCGACAACCCGGGAUGACAUGCGAUUGAUAACAUACACGGCAUAGGUGAUGGCGUCCGGCCAAAAACUCUUGGGAACUGACCCACCAAUAAGCAGUGCACGAGCAGUUUCCAAAAUAUGAUGGUUUUCCUUUCAGUAACCCCAUUUUGUUGUGGGGUGUACAAGCAAAUUGUCUCAUGGAAAAUUCCUUGAUCACGGAAAAAAUUGGAAAACUCAGAGUUAACAUAUUUUCCCCCAUUAUUAGUACGAAGAACUUUAAUAACGGAGGAAUAUUGAACAGCCACCAUUUGAGAGAAAGACCAAAUAAUUGCACUUACAUCACUUUUAUGUUUCAACAAAUACACCCAUGUUAUACGAGUGCAAUCAUCAACAAACGUAACAAACCACUUAACUCUUGAAACUGUAUUAAUGGGUGAAGGCCCCCAAACAUCUGAAUGCACAAGCUCAAACGGAAGCAAUCUUUUAUUCAAACUAGAAGGAAACGAAGCACGAUCGCUCUUAGUAAGAAUACAUACUUCACAAUGUAAGUCUGAUUCCUUUAUUUCAUGAAACAUACUAGGCAACAUAUGCCUUAAAUAACCAAAAGAAACAUGUCCUAACCGAUGAUGUACCAACCAAACUUCUUGCAGAAUACUAGUACGGGAUGCUCGAACAGCAUUAGCUCUGCCAGGAAUGACGUCAUCCACAUAGUACAACCCAUCUCUCUUAGUGCCACACUCAAUUAUCUCCUUGGUCUGAAUAUCUUGAAGCAAACAAAAAAAUGGAUACAUAAGUACAACACAAUCCAAUUGCUCAGUAACUUGGGGAAUAGAUAAUAAAUGGUGAGACAAUGACGAAACAAGCAAACGGUGGUGGAGAGAAAGAAAUGGCGUGAGGUCCACUGUGCCAGCUCCAGUCACCAUGGCAGUGGUGCCAUUUGUCGUGGAAAUACACUUUUGACGUGUCAUUGUCAUAUACUUAAAUAACCUUUUAUCAAACGUCAUAUGAUUAGUUAUUCCAGAAUCCAAAAUCCAAUCUGUAUGUUGUUCAGUACCAGAGGCUAAAAGAACACGCCCAUCAGUACCUGUAUUGGAUGAAGACUCAUUGGGAUUGAGUCGGGUCAACAAAGCUUGACUUGGAUCCCCCUGAAUAGACACGACAUCUUUGUUUCCAGUUGUUGCGGUAGCCAUAGGUGGAAGCCUUUCACUAGCUCCGAUAGAAGCACGCUCUUUAGCAUGCAACUUCUUCUUCAAUUCCGGAAACCAUUCAAGUACUCCAUGUUUCUGAAAACACAUAUCUUCCGUAUGACGAGUUUGCCCAUAAAAGUACACUUCAAAUUAUCCUUAUUCUCUCGAGUGAAAGGGCGAGAAUCGAGUGAUGAAGAUGGACCAUAGGGCCAGCCAGAAGAAGGAGGCCAUGACAUCAUAGCCACCGGUAGGGUUCCUCGUUGGUUCCCAACAGCACUACCUCCCAUCAUAGUAGCAUGGCGUUGAGCUUCCCGCCUAACUACUGAAAACACUUCCUCCAUAGAUGGUAGAGGCUGAGUUCUCAGAAUAUCACUACGGACCUUGUCAAACACAUCAUCGAGGCCCACUAAAAAAACAUACACACGGUCUAGUUGAACUUCUUCCCGAAGUGUCUUCAAGUCAAGAGCACACUCCAUCUUGAUUGAUGGAUGUGAAGUUUCUUAAAGUUCAAGAAAAGGUUAGGGAGGGAACUAUUCAAGUGGAACAUUUAAGUACUAAUGCAAUGAUAGCAUAUCCUUUGACCAAGGCAUUGCCAAUUGGGAUUUUUAAAGCUCAUGUUUCUCGGAUGGGGGUUCUUGAAACUUUUGAUCAGUGGGAGUGAUCUAGUGUUGCAUAUUGGCUGUUGGUUGCUGCUGUGAAGUUCAAAUAGUUGGUGCAGUGAUACAAAUAGGUUUAUGUUUUUAAUAAAGCUUUAAGCUAGUAUUUGAUUAGCUAGUUUUGUUUUGGUUUAUUUUAUUCUCGAUUUGAGACUUGUUUUAGUGGUCUGUUGUUUUUGAGAAAUAAAAUUUGAGAUAGUUCAUUUGAUGCUUUUAUGACAGUCUGCCUAUUUAUGCAGUUUCCAUUGAAUUAUUGAUUCAUGCAUUGUUUGGGGCAAUUAUUUAUCUUAAAUUCUUGCUGUCAAUGAUGUGAAAUAGUGGGAGCAAAUUACUUUGCUCAUUUGCUGAUAUUGAUCUGGUUCACAAUGUUAAAGAUACAAAUUGAAUGUAUGUAACUCUUCAAAACUGAUGUGCAUUAUGGUUGCAAUAAAGUUACAGAGUUCUACAUUUUGAGAUGUAUGUAAAAUGGUUGUGAUUGGGGAUUUUUGUUAUCAGACUUAGUGAUCUUGAAUAAGCUAAGCAUUUGAAACUGUUCUCAUACUUAAGUGGGAGAAUGUAAGAAUAUGAGUAUGAGAUAGAGAACUUUUGGAUCGGCUAUAGGUGUUCAGUUUGAUAGAAAAGUCUUGUUGACAAAAGAAAUGCUAAUCCUUGGCAAAGAAGGAUCUUGUAUAGUAUUGAGAUCAGUUCUUGUAUAACAAGGAAAUAAGUAUUUGUUUCCUAUAUGGAUUUUAAUAAGGAAUCCUAAUCUGUCAAGGUAAAGAUUAUAUGUAUAUAUAUAGUGACCUCUCUUCUCACAGAACAAUGCUUAUAUUGGACUUAAUCCUAUUUGAAAUGCGAGUUCUAGAUAAUCUGCAAUUCACUGCAAGCUUGGUGCUAUGGCUUCGGGUUUUGGAGUUGUUGCAGGUAUGCUUUUCUUCUUAGUUCUCUUAUACAUGAAAGAUUGGUUGGAGCUUUUAGAUUGUGAUUCAUGUUUUGGUCUUGGAUAAUAAUUCACUGCGUACAGAUUGGUCUUCUCUAAUCAAGUUCUUGCCAGACAACUUUAAGAUCAGCAUAGUAUACACCAAUAGGGCGCCUUUCUUGGCGAAGUCGAAAUGACUUCACUUUCAAUUCAUAAAUCUAAAAGAUAUCAGAUCCAUCAUAAUACGUCAUGGCAACUUCUUCCCAUACUUCUUUAGCAGUACAAAGAUGAAUGAAAAAACCCAUGAUAGUAGGAUCCAUGGAGUUAAUCAACCAUCUUUUCACAAUUGCAUUCACAGUCUCCCAAGCAUCAUAUUCGACACUGUCUUCAUUGGGCUCCUUAAUACUCUAUGUCACAAACCCUUUUUUUUCCAUGCCCAGCAAUAUGCAUUUCUAAUACUUUGGACCAAAGAGGGUAAUUUGAUCCAUUGAGUUUUACAGUAUUUGGUACGCUUGAAGCAUCAUUUUGAAUAACCACAGGAUUGACAACUGACUGCUGGGUUAAGCCAGAUGCCCUAUCAUCCAAUUUCAGCACAGCCUCUCCUUUGUCACUUGCCAUUAAUCACAAUACACACCACACACAUGGUACGCAGCAGAAAACGCACGGUUUUGCUGCAGGAAUGCAACGACAAACCCUGAAAUCUGAUGUGGUCCUUGUCUCCGACAACAGCAACACGGCAGCCUGGACUUGCUGCAGAAACGCAGCAGAGAUCAUAGAUGUGUGAUGGGUUUUCUUUCUUUUACUGUAGCAGCGACACAGUGGGAAUGUUUUAGGGUUAUGCUUGGCUCUGAUGCCAAAUUGAAUUUACAGCUUGAAUUUCAUUGUAUUGCAUAAUAAAAAAUAUAUACAAGAUACAAUCCUUGUUAUAAAAGGAAACAAUAAAGGGCACACACAUAUCCUUCAUAAUAAAGGAUUUUAAUAUUUACAAUAUAUUUACAUACCUUUUUUAAUACCACUCAUUUGACACUGUCUUCAUUGGGCUCCUUAAUACUCCCUGUCACGAACCCUUUUUUUUUCCAUGCCCAACAAUAUGCAUCUCUAAUACUUUGGACCAAAGAGAGUAAUUGAUCCGUUGAGUUUUACAGUAUUUGGUAUGUUUGAAGCAUCACUUUGAAUAACCACAGGAUUGACAACUGACCCCUGGGUAAAGUCAGAUGCCCUACCCUUCAAUUUCACCCCAGCCUCUCCUUUGUCACUUUCCAUUAAUCACAAUACACACCACACACAUGGUACGCAGUAGAAAACACACGGUUUUGCUGCAGGGAUGCAGCGACAAACCCUAAAAUCUGAUGUGGUCCUUGUCUCCUACAAUAACAACAAGGCAGCCUGGACUUGCUGCAGAAACGCAGCAGAGAUCAUAGACGUGUGAUGGGUCUUCUUUCUUUUACUGUAGCAGCGGCACAGUGGGAAUUUUUUAGGGUUAUGCUUGGCUCUGAUGCCAAAUUGAAUUUACAACUUGAAUUUAAUUGUAUUGCAUAAUAGACAAUAUAUACAAGAUACAAUCCUUGUUCUAAAAGGAAACAAUAAAGGACACACACAUAUCCUUCAUAAUAAAUGAUUUUAAUAUUUACAAUAUAUUUACAUGCCUUUUUUAAUACCACUCACGGCAACAAAAAACAAUGGUGAGUUUUUCUUGUUGGUGAAGAAAAUAAUCAAGGUAGUCGUUUUUAUUUGAAGAAUUAAAUUAAAAUUUCAUUUGCAGAAUAUUUUUUUGAAUUAGUAAAUAGUAAGAACUUGAUUUAAUAUUACCAAAUUUCUAAUUGCAAUGAUAAUUACAUUAAUCAAUUGUGAUAAUAAAGUGAUAAAAGGCGUAGGGAAAUUUAGUAGAAGAUCUAUUAUAUUACCAAAUUUAGUCCAAAGAAAAAAUACAGUAAUUUUGUAUUUUCCACAAAUAGCAAUUGGAAUGUCUUGGAAAACAUUGUCUCAUAUAUUUGGAGGAAGUGAAAUGUCCAAUUUCAAGUGAAUCCAUGCGUUCUGAUUUUUAAAUUCUUAUUUCCCUUACAUUUUUGUAAUUGUUUCCAACCCUUCCUAUUCCCUUAAUAAUAAUUUUUUUUAUUUAAAAACAAGUAAAACUAGAAGAAUUCAAUGGUAAAUUUAAUAGCAAAAGAAGAAGUUUACCCUCUUGGCGCUCGUUAAUUCUAUUAUGCUCCAGUGUGGAAUUAUGACUAAGCUUACAAUUAUCAAGGAUUUAGGGGACAAAUAACUUGGUUCGUGCUUAUAUAUUGUAUUGCUCUUUCUCUCUUCUUUGUGUCGCUUAUAUAUUGUAUAAGUAAUGUUACACUUAUCAUAUAUUUGUACUAUCAAUUGUACUAUCUUUUUAAUAGAGGUAGGGUCCAUCAAAACAUGUGAGUCUCAUCUUUAGGGAUGAGUUCGGUUUCAUUUAGUUUGAUUUUUUGCCAAAACCAAAAUCGAACCAAAACUUUGAUUCGGUUCAGUUCGGUUCAAUAUUCUUUUGGUUUUUUUUCAGUUCGAUUUUUUUUCAGUUUGAUUUUGUUCUGUUUGGUUUCGGUACGGUUUCAAUUUUAUUUAUUUAUUUUAUAAAUCUUGAUCUUUUUUUAAUAUGGAAUUUAGAAAAAAAAAAGGCUUGCAUUGGUAGACUAAUAAUAAGAAAUAUGGGAAAAGUGGAAAGUAGGAAGGUAGUUGUAUAUAUACAAGAUCAUAUAAACCAAUCAUAUUCUAUCAACAAUCUCAAGUGCAAAGAAAAAUGAUCACUGUAUCCAUUCAAAAAGCAAACAAAUAGAGACGCUCUUCCAAGUUCCAAAACCUUCCAAAACUUUCCUCUAUAACCAAUGAAUAUCCUCCCUAAUUGAACCAAGUAUGCUCCUUGAAAAAGCCCUAGGUUAGUUUCAAACUUGGCAACAAAGUUUCACAAAAGAAACAUCAUGGGCAUACAUUCAUAAAAUGUAAAGAGAUUCGGUUAGAUUUUUUUUCGGUUUUCGAUUUUUCAGUUUCGGUUCAGUGUUUGGUCCAGUUUUUUUUCUUCAGUUUUUGGUUUUUUGAACCCACUCAUAACCACUCCUUGUUCAAAAGUUGAAUGUUAAGUCGAAUGUUGAAGUCACAUAUUGAACAAGGAGUGGUUUUUUUGGUUUUUUUCGGUUUUCAAUUUUUCAGUUUCAAUUCUGUGUACAAGACCUUCGUAACCACAACACUUGUCUUGUUGCCCGGGUACAUUUGCAUAUUUUUUUCCCACCGCACCUCCUUGUUCAAAAGUCGAAUGUUAAGUGUUGUGGUUAUGAAGGUCUUGUACACAGGUUUAUAUAUACAUAUGAAAGAAAUGGAAUGUGAAAUUGAUAAAUGAUCUCUCUUAACGACGAUCUAUGAAGACUAUGCCGCAUGUAUUGAUCAGAUCAAGACAUGAUAUACAUCAACAAAGUCAACACCAAUCAUAUUGCGCCUCAUCAUAUUAGCAAAGUCAAGCAAAUUGAUCCCUAGACAACAUUGUCGACCUCUUCACAAAGUCACUGCCGAAGUCUAUGAUAGGAGUAUAUUUAUGCGACUUAGUGAGCUUGUUCUUGUGCAUUUACAUUGUGUUUUCUUAGUUAAAUUAGUCUUUUAAGCUAGUUUCAUGUGUUUUCAGGUUUUAAGGGCAAAGUAUGCAAAAUGAUGCAUUUUAGAGCCUUUUGGAGCAAGAUUGAGCUUGGGAUGGAUAUCACGUGCUUGGGAUGGAUAGGAAUGGACGAGAAUGAAGGGGUCCUAAUUGAAGAAGGAUUCCUAAUCAACGAAUGAGUCCUAAUUGAAGAAGGAUUCCUAAUCAUCGGAGGAGUCCUAGUUAAGGAUGGAUUCCUAGUCAAAGAUGGAUUCCUAGAAGAAUGAGGAUUCCUACUCAAACAAGGUUUCCUACUUGAAGUAGGAAAGUUAAGCCUAAAGUUUCCUAUUUUGGGUUGAUCUUUCCUAAACCUAAAUGGCCUUAAGUUUCAGCAACAUUGAAGAUUUCCUAAGCAUUUUUGGACACAAAGAAGGUUCUAGAACAAUUUCCCAUAGGUGCCGCACCAAUUCAGCAAGGGAACCUAUUUCCUUGCCUUGCAAGGCUUUCUAGAAGCCUUAUCCUUCCCUCCCUCCAGCCGCACCUCUUGGCCUUUUCCCUUGAGGAUUCUGAUUUUCUAAGCCUUUUUCCUGGUGGAUUUGGUUUCUAGAAGCCCUAAUUUGAUUGCCCUAGGGUUUAGGUGCCUAUAAAUAUGUAUUUUACACCCCUUGUCACACCUACCACCCCUCAUACACAUAAAUUCACGCCAGAAACACUCCCAUUUCUCUACUGCAGCCUUCCAUUACCAUUAUCCAUAAUUCCUGCCAAAAACCAACCCUUGCCGCACCACCAAUCCAUCCUAAACACCACCAUACUACCCCCAUCCAUUCUACACCAUUCAUAACCCCAAGAAUCUGUCCCUAAGUCUUGUGCCGCAGCAAGGAGGAAGGAGGACAGUCCAUAGGCGUGCUUGCUGUUCAAGAGUGGAUCGUUGGAGCGUCUAGGUGUUCUCUUUCUUUUGUUCUCAAUGUCUAACUUUGUUUAUCUUUGUUUCGUGAGUAUGAGAACUUAAACCCCCUUGGCUAGGGGGGAUUCGAAACCAUGUUUUAUGCUUGCUAUAUGAUUUGAUUACUUUCAAUUGCGUUUCAUAAGUUGUGAAUUCAAUUUGCUUAUCUAUAUGAAUUAAAACUGAUUUGUGUGUGUUGGUUAAGAGUGCAUGCUUAAUUUUCAUGCAUAAAUCUAAUGCUAGGAUAUAAGGGAGUUUCACCUAAUCGUUAUGAAUUUAUAUUCGCAAGUAGUAAAGGUUGUUGAUCACAAUCGUGUUAAGUAAAUUCUUGGCAUAAGUUUCAUGCAAUUCAUAGUAACAAGUGUCUCGUCAAUGCUUAUGGUUUUCGUAGAACUUAAUGAUUCUUGCUUGUAUCUCUAUUAUGCAAUUCAUGUAGGAAACUUGUGGGGAAUGCUUUGGGUUGUUGUAUGCAAUCAUCCAAUUCAAUAACUUUAGGAAAAUCUGGGGAAUUGAGAAUUCAUAAUCUAUUGAAAAGCAAUUGGAAAUCGUUUUGUAUGCAAGUGUGACAUGUGUGGAGAAGAACCCCUUAGCUAGCUUUCAAUCCAUUCACUUUAAUCAAAUUCGUUUUAAAAUCUGUUUAGUUUACAAAGUUUUUGUUUUGUUUUUAAUUUCGUCAAAAUCAAAUCCCCCUUUAUUUUGAAGUGUUAGAUUAGUUAGAAAUCAAUUUAGUUUGUAUUUUUAAGUGUCUUGAGUCAAAUUAUAACCUAUUUUCGUCCAAAUUUGUGCUUGGUGUUCAAAACUGCCCAGAUUGUGUUUUUAAGGCAGUUUUGAGUGUUUCUGUGCUAUUUUGAGUUUUUUUUUGUUUGUUUUAGUGUUUUAGAGUUUAGUUUUGCAUUCUUUGAGUCUAGUUUAGUGUUUUAAACUUUGUUUUUACGUUUUUGAGUCAGUUUUCAAGUGAUUUAGCAAUCCCUCCUAAUCCCCGGCCUUGAACGAUCCCUACUUACAUACUUUGCUACAAUUGAUAAAAAGAGGGUUUAAUUUGUGUGCUUAUAUAUUUCGCAUCAGUCUACCUUCCACAUGCUUGUUCGAGAAAUUGGUAUGCUUCGACCAUUUCGAUGUGCCAGAAGUAGCAAAAUACUGCAACCUACGUACAGAUUUGGUUUGUCAAAACCUCUACUGCAAAAUACUGCAACCUACAUACACAUUUGGUUUGUCAAUAACCUCUACUUAUGAUCCUUUCUAGGUCUUCUUGUGAAUAACAGUCUUUGAAUCCGAGUUUAUGUAAUGGAAGGAUGAUAUCAUUUAUCGAACGAAUUUGACAAUGUAGAAUUUUUAUUAAAUUUUUUAUCAAGCCUUUAGAAGCUCAAUCGGUAUAGAUACCUUAACUAGAUUCUAGAAGAUGAACGUCGAUUAUACUGAGAUAACACAGGUUGACACGAUCCAGUUUUCAGAAAUCAAUCAACUCCAAGUAAAACCAAAACCAUUUUAAUGCACAUACCUUAACUAGAUUCUAGAAGAAUAUCCACAAAAAUAAAAUUGAGUAGAAAAUACUUACAUUUUUAUUUGAGGUACCAACAAACACGAACCCUCCUUAAAAUUUACCAAGGGAGUCCUUUUCUGUAGCACAUGAAGAUGCGUCGAUAUGAAUAAGCUAGGCACCUUCAUUGUUCUCAGGUAAAUCGGGGACCAGGAAAGUUCCUUUGAGCACCAAAAGGCCACAGUCUGCUUAAGCCAGAAUCCAAAUUAGACUCCGAUUUUUUGGUGCACGUAAGCCUCACCUUAUCGUAGAGUAUGGUGUAGUUUGAGCUGCUUAUGUUUCUGAAGUAACAGGACUUCCCACCAUCGUAUCUAUACACUUGCUGUGUACUCCCCAAUCCACUAACUACCAAAUUGUUUUUUACAACCAUAUAACCUUCGCCAUUCUGCAGAUUUCUGAGAGAGCUGUUCGAGAAUUGUGAACCAGCACUUGCAGACUUCUUCUCAAUAAAUCCCAGUUCAACAUUUGUACCCAACUUAUAUGUUUCAUUUGCUUGUUCCAAGUAGUCAGUGUACAAGUAAAGAGGAAAUGUUUUGUUUGAUGACAGUGAGUGAAUACUGGAGGAUGGCAGCGUGAUAUGAACUGUAUCGUUGAAAUGGAUAAUCUGAUUUACUAUCUGUGUAUCCCCACCAUUCUUCAUGACCAUUGUAUUACUGUAAUGGAAGUCUUGAAUCGCAUCAGUUGUGAUAUUCCCAUAGGAGGACUUCACCCAUCCAGUCGAUGACACAGACCUGCCGACCCUUGUCAAAAAUGUGCCAUUUAAACCCUUGAAAUCCAAAACCAAUGAAACAACAAGGGGCAAGCUUCUAUGCUUCAAAAGCUCUCCUUCAGUUUUCGUGCUCUGCUUGUCCAACCAAAGAUGCAAAUUCGCGUCAACGAACCAAACGUUCAAGGCAUUUGUUACAUUAAAACCAAACUUGUGGCUCUUCCCGUCCAAUAUCUUCCCUAAAAAGGGUGUGAUUUCAAUAUCAUAAGAAGGGAGAUCGUAUGAACCAAUCGCAGUAAUAGGUCUCCACAGGAGCGGAUUGACCCCUCCAGUGAAAAUCACAGUAAAAGGCCAGACUGCACCAACAACCUCACCAUCUAAACUCACCACAACCUCCCUAAAAGGCCCGUUUCCAGGCGUGCUAAGAUUGUUUGCAACAAUGUACUCAUUCGGAGCAUUUGAAUACCAAGAUUCAUCGUUCUCAUGAAAUGAAACAUACACCUCCAACACAGCCCUAUAAGCAUUCUGCGGAAUCUCAAAUUCCUUCAACUGUGUAUCGGUCGAAUUCUGGAUUUCAAACCACAACCCAUCAUUCAAAGGCAGAUUUCUCGAAAUGGGCAAGAUCAAAUCCGCCCAAGAAUGGUACCCAGAAUUCAAAUUUUCCAAAUUUCCCAACUUAUGCUCAUAAUUAUGAUUCAAAAUCUUCUCAGCAGGGUAAAACAGGAUGCUAAUAUUCAAAUGGUAAAUCCCAGUAUAUGUUUUAUCUAUCAAAUUCCCAAGAUAAACAGCUAGUGUUUGAUCGUUCUGAAGCAAAGAAUAGUACCUUGUGAUGUCCUUCUCGACAAUCCAAACAAUCCCAUUCUGCGUCGGCUCAGCCGUGCAGCUCCUGAGAAGCUCAACGCCUCCGAGCCAAACCCCGAAAAUCCGAUCAAAUUGCCUCCCUUUGCAGGUGGCUUUCCACUCGAGGACAAUUUUGGAAAAUGAUUGAGAUGGGCAGUACGAGGGAGGGGAGUAGUUAGCAAAGACUGGAGCUUUGCCGUAUGUGUAGCCGAAGUCGUGCUGGAGAACGAGCUGGGUGCAGGGCUUGGUUUUGGGGAGUUCUAUGGGUUUGGUUACUUCGAAGAAGAGAGUUGGUGCGGCGUCAUUUUGAGGGGUGGGUUGGGAAAGGAGCUCCGGUCGGAGAAGGUUGAGUUUGUGGACAUUGGCGGUGGAAAAGAGUGGGUGGUGGAGGAGGA
rnacentral:lncRNA from 1 species